GCUCUCGCGGGGGCUGCUGGGGCGUGGGCGUCGGUGACGCGCAGGGGUGCGCGCAGCCGUAAGGACGCGCUUCUCCAGUCGCGCGCCGGGACCCAGACUUUCGAGUGGGAACGGUAGACGCGCGAGGGAGGAACCCGUGCAGCAUGAAGAGGCAGGGGGCCUCCUCGGAGCGGAAACGGGCGCGGAUACCCUCCGGGAAGGCCGGGGCAGCAAAUGGAUUUCUCAUGGAAGUGUGUGUUGAUUCAGUGGAGUCAGCUGUAAAUGCAGAAAGAGGAGGUGCCGGUCGCAUUGAAUUAUGUUCUGGCUUAUUGGAAGGAGGAACCACACCCAGCAUGGGUGUCCUUCAAGUAGUGAAACAGUAUGUCCAGAUCCCAGUUUUUGUGAUGAUUCGGCCCCGUGGAGGUGAUUUUUUAUAUUCAGAUCGUGAAGUUGAGGUGAUGAAGGCUGACAUUCGUCUUGCUAAGCUUUAUGGUGCUGAUGGUUUGGUAUUUGGGGCAUUGACUGAAGAUGGACACAUUGACAAAGAACUGUGCAUGUCCCUUGUGGCCAUUUGCCGUCCUCUGCCAGUCACUUUCCACCGAGCCUUUGACAUGGUUCAUGACCCAAUGGCAGCUCUAGAGACCCUCCUAACUUUGGGAUUUGAACGAGUAUUGACCAGUGGAUGUGACAGUUCGGCACUAGAAGGGCUACCCCUAAUAAAGCGACUUAUAGAACAGGCAAAAGGCAGGAUUGUGGUAAUGCCAGGGGGUGGCAUAACAGACAGAAAUCUACAAAGGAUCCUUGAGGGUUCAGGUGCUACCGAAUUCCACUGUUCUGCUCGGUCGGCUAGAGAUUCAGGAAUGAAGUUUCGGUAAAAAUGAACUCUUUGAUUCAUACCAAAAGGAAUGAAAUUAAUCUUUACUUCCCCAAAUAGGAAAACCAUAGUGAUGGCAUGCUUAAUGAAUGGAAUGUUGUGAUUAGUAUAAAUUCCUUGGUUGCUAUGGGAGCCUCUCUUUCUAGCUCAGAAUAUUCUCUAAAGGUAGCAGAUGUGACCAAAGUAAGGACUUUGAAUGCUAUUGCAAAGAAUAUUCUGGUUUAGCCAGACCUCUGAGAGACAUGGACAUCACAGGACGAAGGUAGAAGAGUAGUCUACAAUUCUCUGUGACCCAGCUUUAACCUUCUCUGGACAGGACAGUCACAGUCUUUAAGUUUCAUACUACCAUGGAGAAUGUUUCCAAGAAGGAAAAGAACUUGAAACAGAGCACAGUCACUUCCUUUGCUUAAUUUUGCCAGCCAUCUUUGUCAUCGUGAUUAAAAUCUGGUCUACACUUCUUGCACAGACAGAGGCAUAGUCUGUUUUCAGUGGAAUUAAUUAAUGAACUGGAAAAAUUCAACUGCAAGGUAUGAAUUCAGAUGUGACUUCAUGGUCAACUCAAUAGCAGUAUUUUGCCUUUUUAUUUAAAAUAAAAAUUGCCAUUCUAUUAUG